GUUGAAUUCUGCUCAAAUUCGUUUCAAUCAUUCUAAUACAUCAGGACAUUGUUUGCCAGAAGCAAGAGAAACAAAAUGAGUACAUUCUACGCAACAUCUUUUUCCUCCUUCAUAAUCAAUAGUUAAAUUGUUACAAGAGUUGCUUUCAGAAUAUUAUCAAUGACAUUAAAUACGCAUCAAACCUGAUGCUUUUCAGUAAUUACAGAACAACAGAAUCUCCCAAGUCCAGGUUUUGGUGAGAAAUAUUUGGUCGGUAAAUUGGUUCCUGUCACAGCUGGAUGCGUGGAUCCAUUGUACAAUGUAUAUCUGUCAACAUAGGAACACCUUUGUCAUUCCUCUUCAAACUAACACUGAAUAUAAAAAAAGUCAAGCACAAAUGAACCAAACUUGGUCAGCUAGUCUUUUUCUUUUUAAAAGCCGGAUGUAUGGUUCCAUCAUAAGAAUCUAGGUUCUCAAUCUUAGACAUAAAUUCUUUCAUCCUCUUCAGUACAAUAGGCAUGGCCGACAUAUUGCUGGAAAUUUUAUCUUUCAAAAUACCAACUUUCUCAGCAAUCUUAUGGUCCCCUUCUGCUAGCAAUGCUGAUUUACUGGCUUUAACCCGUUCUCCUAAACCUGGAUUACACUGGCUGAAAGGUCCUAAAUCCGACCCUGAAUCCAUUUCCGGAAGAACGGGUCUCUGGGCAGAAAUAAUUGAAGCUAAGGUAGCUUUGAGCUGAUCCGGAAGAGUGGCUCUGUAUUCGAGAAUCCUCUUCGCCAUUUCUUUCGCUUCUGACUCCAGCUUCUCCAACUCUUCCACUUCUACUUCUUCUUCUUCUUCUUCUUCUGCUUCACUUGUUAGGAGAGUUUCUUUUUCUAAACGGAGUGCCAAGAGAUGGCAUUGUGUCUGUAAAUAUUCAGUCACUACCACAGAUUUCAUUACUGAGCAAGGAAAUGUGGUGUCUUUUGAUUCUAAUAAUUCAUUUAGAGCAAGCAGUAAUGUUGAUGUGGAUAGCGAAAUCUUAAUUAAGCCUGCUUCAAAGCCUGUAUUGAAAUCUUCUCUAGACUCUAAAGGUGAAUCCCCUUUAGGUAUGAGCUCCGUUGAGUUGGACCCUUCGAGGGAUUCUGAUGAUGAACGAGAGAGGAAUGAGGUGAUUGAGUCUCUUGGUGAGGUGUUGGAGAAGGCUGAAAAGCUUGAAACUUAUAAGCCAAGUCCUAGCACUACUAGGAAAGAUAAUGGAAGUGUAAAUAAAAUAUCAUCAUCUAACAUGGGUGCAAAUUCGAGAGUUGCUAAAUCUGGCAAUCCUGCGGCUUCUCGCAAAACUAAAACUUUGAAGAGUGUGUGGCGUAAAGGGGACACUGUGGCAAGUGUGCAAAAAGUUGUGAAGGAAUUUCCUAAGACUAAUAAUAAGCUUGUGAAAGAAGAAGAACCUAUACCAGGGGAAGGGACAAAGUUAGAAUCUCAACCUACUGUUCCUUUAAGGCCUGUGCAGCCUCCCCAGAGAACUCAACCCAAAUUACAGGCUAAGCCAUCUGUAGCUCCCCCUCCUAUGAUGAAAAAACCUGUUAUCCUGAAGGAUGUGGGGGCAGCUCCAAAGCCACCAGUUAAUGAUGAAGCUGAUUUGGGUGCUAAAAUAAGUACUGGACGGCAGCCCAUUUUAGUUGACAAAUUUGCCCGCAAAAAACCUGUUGUUGAUCCUAUAAUUGCUCGGGCAGUUUUAGCCCCUACAAAACCAGGAAAGGGCCCUGCCCCUGGGAGGUUCAAAGACCGAAAGAAAAGUGUUUCACCUGGAGGACCACGGAGACGAAUUGUUGAUGAUGAUGAUGUUGAGAUUCCUGAUGAGGACACAUCGGAGCUCAAUGUCCCUAUUCCAGGUGCAGCUACUGCAAGGAAAGGAAGGAAAUGGAGUAAGGCUAGCCGGAAGGCUGCUAGACUCCAGGCUGCCAAAGAUGCAGCUCCUGUCAAAGUAGAAAUUUUAGAAAUUGGGGAAAAAGGUAUGCUGAUUGAGGAGUUAGCCUACAACUUGGCAGUCAGUGAAGGUGAAAUUCUUGGGUAUCUGUACUCAAAGGGGAUUAGACCUGAUGGGGUGCAAACUCUGGGCAAGAACAUGGUAAAGAUGGUAUGCAAGGAGUAUGAUGUGGAGGUCAUAGAUGCUGCUCCUGUUAGAUUUGAAGAAAUGGCAAGAAAAAGGGAAAUUCUUGAUGAAGAUGAUCUGGACAAACUGGAAGAGAGGCCUCCUGUCCUAACUAUAAUGGGGCAUGUGGAUCAUGGCAAGACGACCUUAUUGGAUUACAUUCGUAAAAGCAGGUUGGCUUCCUCAGAAGCUGGUGGGAUUACACAAGGAAUUGGAGCAUAUAAAGUUCUGGUACCUGUUGAUGGGAAGUUGCAACCUUGUGUUUUCCUUGAUACUCCUGGGCAUGAGGCAUUUGGUGCAAUGAGAGCUCGUGGGGCAAGGGUGACAGAUAUUGCAAUUAUUGUGGUGGCUGCUGAUGAUGGGAUUCGUCCUCAGACAAACGAGGCCAUAGCUCAUGCCAAAGCGGCCGGAGUUCCGAUUGUAAUUGCUAUAAAUAAGAUAGAUAAAGAUGGAGCUAAUCCAGAAAGAGUCAUGCAAGACCUUUCUUCAAUUGGUCUCAUGCCAGAAGACUGGGGUGGUGACAUCCCAAUGGUUCAGAUCAGUGCUCUCAAGGGGGAUAACAUAGAUGAUUUGUUAGAAACUGUUAUGCUUGUUGCUGAGUUACAAGAGUUGAAGGCUAAUCCUCACAGAAAUGCGAAGGGUACUGUUAUUGAGGCAGGUCUUCAUAAAUCUAAAGGACCAGUAGCUACAUUUAUUGUACAGAAUGGCACACUUAAAAGAGGGGAUGUAGUGGUUUGUGGAGAAGCCUUUGGCAAGGUGCGAGCUUUAUUUGAUGAUAGUGGAAACCGAGUUGAUGAAGCUGGGCCAUCUAUUCCUAUACAGGUUAUUGGAUUGAGUAACGUACCAAUUGCUGGUGACGAAUUCGAAGUUGUUGCCUCCCUUGAUAUUGCACGUGAAAAGGCUGAAGCACGUGCGGAAUUAUUGCGUAAUGAGCGUAUAUCGGCCAAGGCUGGGGAUGGAAAGGUCACACUUUCUUCUUUAGCAUCUGCUGUUUCAUCAGGAACGUUGUCUGGAUUAGAUUUGCACCAGCUAAAUAUUAUAAUGAAAGUUGACGUUCAGGGAUCGAUUGAAGCUGUCAGACAAGCCUUACAGGUGCUCCCCCAAGAUAACGUCACCUUGAAGUUCCUCUUGCAAGCAACAGGAGAUGUAAGCACUAGUGAUGUUGAUCUUGCCAUUGCCAGUGAAGCUAUUAUUUUGGGAUUUAAUGUCAAAGCGCCAGGUUCUGUCAAGAGCUAUGCAGAAAACAAAGGUGUUGAGAUUCGGCUAUAUAGAGUGAUCUAUGAUCUCAUUGAUGAUGUACGAAAUGCAAUGGAAGGACUUCUGGAACCUGUUGAGGAACAAGAAACAAUUGGCUCAGCAGAAGUCCGGGCUGUGUUUGGCAGUGGCAGUGGCCGUGUUGCUGGAUGCAUGGUAACAGAUGGGAAAGUAAUGAAAGGCUGUGGCAUUAAAGUCAUUCGAAAUAAAAAGAUAGUCCAUGUUGGUGUUCUUGAUUCUCUGAGACGAGUUAAGGAAAUUGUGAAAGAGGUAUGACUUUGAGUCAGUAUAGUUCUGUUUUCUGACAGUAGUCAAAUUUAUGUUGUUUUAGUAUUUUUCAAUAACUGUAACCUUUACAUUUAGUUAGUCAUACUGUCUAUGUCAUGCUCUUCUAGAACUGCAUUUUGGUUUUGAUCUCAAAUGACAUUUCAUGCAUGCAAAUGGGUAGAUGGUAAUUAAUUCUCUAUUCAGGCAUAUGAAAGGAAUUAUUUUGCUCUAAUAUGUAAUAAUUGCUUAGAACUAAAGACUUCACUGAGGUGAAUGUAGUUAAUAAUCAGAUAUCUAUAGUUUCUCUGUUUCUUUUUCUCCUUAUGAAAGGUAAUGAAUACAUUAUAGGAAACUUUUCAGUGAGAUAUUUAUUCUAUUAAAUUCUAGAGAGAAGAAAUUAGAAGCUCAUUUUAUCAAUUCAUGUCCUGAAUAUUUUAGCAAUUCCAUGCAAUGGAGUGGAAGGUUGAAGUGUUGAACUUUAUUGACUUCUGAUACUCAGUUGGGGUUUGGUAUUUUCUUUCACAUCAUAUUCAAAAAAUAAACAAUCAGUUGUAUCUGUGGUUAAUAUUCACCAGUUGAGAUACCAAUAAUCCCCUUUGCUAUUACAUGGUAAAAGCAUAAGAUAAGCUUGAGUAGCUGAAAUUUGUGUUGAAUGAAAUGACUGGAUAAAUCCAAUUUCUAUUUCUGUCUGUAACUGUUUCAUCCUUAGAAUAUGCUACUUCUUAUUGAUAAAUUGAAUUGCUGGAAUGCAGUUAUGAGAAAACCAACUUGUGCUGCUCUGCAUUUAAUUGUUAUUAAGAACUUUGCAUUUGCUUGUUAACAUUGAUUGUUGUCUGCUGAAUGAUUUAAAAUGUUAUUGCUAGAGGCAGCAAGAUGCUCUCUAGAUUUUAAUCUAAUAUAAUGGCUCCUCUAGUUUCAGUAUUGCUUCUUUAGCUAUCAGUGACAUCUAGUGUUUUAGGCCAAAUUAGAAAGGGUAGGCAGUGGUGCUUAAUUGCCAUUUGUUUCUUCCACUAUCUGCAUGACAGGUGGGGUACUUGUGCCUGUUUAGCUGCUUACCUUUUAAUGAAAGGAAUGUUGAAAAACUUAAAAUAAGUAUGGCUGGACUGGAAAUUGGGCAGUUAAAUUCGUAUUACAGUGCCAAAUUGCUUUGUAUUUUGCCGUGAACGACAUUUCAUUUUUCGGCAGGUAAAUGCUGGGCUAGAGUGCGGCAUUGGAAUGGAAAACUACGAUGAUUGGGAGGAAGGAGAUAUUAUCGAGGCCUUCAACACGGUUGAGAAGAAGCGGACCCUUGAAGAGGCAUCAGCUUCAAUGGCAGCUGCACUGGAAGAAGCAGGAAUUAACUUGUAGAAGAACAUACAUGUAGCUUUAAAAUUGGCAAAUUUGCUUUCCCUGAUGGAUUGAAAAAAAAAAAAAAAGAAGAAGAAGAAGAAGAA
rnacentral:misc_RNA from 1 species